rnacentral:rRNA from 1 species
GGGGGAUGGACUCGCGGCCUAUCAGCUUGUUGGUGAGGUAAUGGCUCACCAAGGCGACGACGGGUAGCCGGCCUGAGAGGGUGACCGGCCACACUGGGACUGAGACACGGCCCAGACUCCUACGGGAGGCAGCAGUGGGGAAUAUUGCACAAUGGGCGAAAGCCUGAUGCAGCGACGCCGCGUGAGGGAUGACGGCCUUCGGGUUGUAAACCUCUUUCAGUAGGGAAGAAGCGAAAGUGACGGUACCUGCAGAAGAAGCGCCGGCUAACUACGUGCCAGCAGCCGCGGUAAUACGUAGGGCGCAAGCGUUAUCCGGAUUUAUUGGGCGUAAAGAGCUCGUAGGCGGUUUGUCGCGUCUGCCGUGAAAGUCCGAGGCUCAACCUCGGAUCUGCGGUGGGUACGGGCAGACUAGAGUGAUGUAGGGGAGACUGGAAUUCCUGGUGUAGCGGUGAAAUGCGCAGAUAUCAGGAGGAACACCGAUGGCGAAGGCAGGUCUCUGGGCAUUUACUGACGCUGAGGAGCGAAAGCAUGGGGAGCGAACAGGAUUAGAUACCCUGGUAGUCCAUGCCGUAAACGUUGGGCACUAGGUGUGGGGGACAUUCCACGUUUUCCGCGCCGUAGCUAACGCAUUAAGUGCCCCGCCUGGGGAGUACGGCCGCAAGGCUAAAACUCAAAGGAAUUGACGGGGGCCCGCACAAGCGGCGGAGCAUGCGGAUUAAUUCGAUGCAACGCGAAGAACCUUACCAAGGCUUGACAUGUGCCAGACCGCUUCAGAGAUGGAGUUUCCCUUCGGGGCUGGUUCACAGGUGGUGCAUGGUUGUCGUCAGCUCGUGUCGUGAGAUGUUGGGUUAAGUCCCGCAACGAGCGCAACCCUCGUUCAUGUUGCAGCACGUAGUGGUGGGGACUCAUGGGAGACUGCCGGGUCACUCGGAGGAAGGUGGGGAUGACGUCAAUCAUCAUGCCCCUUAUGUCUGGGCUUCACGCAUGCUACAUGGCCGGUACAAUGGGUUGCGAUACUGUGAGGUGGAGCUAAUCCCUAAAAGCCGGUCUCAGUUCCGAUUGGGGUCUGCACUCGACCCCUGAAGUCGGA